UACGGGGGGUGCGAGCGUUGUCCGGAUUUAUUGGGCGUAAAGAGCUCGUAGGCGGCUUGUUGCGUCAGCUGUGAAAACCGCGGCUCAACUGUGGGCUUGCAGUCGAUACGGGCAGGCUGGAGUUCGGUAGGAGAGACUGGAAUUCCUGGUGUAGCGGUGAAAUGCGCAGAUAUCAGGAGGAACACCGGUGGCGAAGGCGACUUCCUGGCCUGUUCUUGACGCUGAGGCGCGAAAGCUAGGGUAGCAAACGGG
rnacentral:rRNA from 1 species